GACGAACGCUGGCGGCGUGCCUAAUACAUGCAAGUAGAACGCACAGUUUAUACCGUAGCUUGCUACACCAUAAACUGUGAGUUGCGAACGGGUGAGUAACGCGUAGGUAACCUGCCUGGUAGCGGGGGAUAACUAUUGGAAACGAUAGCUAAUACCGCAUAAUAUUAAUUAUUGCAUGAUAAUUGAUUGAAAGAUGCAAUUGCAUCACUACCAGAUGGACCUGCGUUGUAUUAGCUAGUAGGUGAGGUAACGGCUCACCUAGGCGACGAUACAUAGCCGACCUUAGAGGGGGAUCGGCCACACUGGGACUGAGACAAGGCCCAGACUCCUACGGGAGGCAGCAGUAGGGAAUCUUCGGCAAUGGACGAAAGUCUGACCGAGCAACGCCGCGUGAGUGAAGAAGGGUUUCGGAUCGUAAAGCUCUGUUGUAAGAGAAGAACGGGUGUGAGAGUGGAAAGUUCACACUGUGACGGUAUCUUACCAGAAAGGGACGGCUAACUACGUG
rnacentral:rRNA from 1 species